rnacentral:rRNA from 1 species
UACGUAGGGUGCGAGCGUUGUCCGGAAUUAUUGGGCGUAAAGAGCUCGUAGGCGGUCUGUCGCGUCGGUCGUGAAAACUUGGGGCUUAACCCUGAGCUUGCGGUCGAUACGGGCAUGACUGGAGUUCGGCAGGGGAGACUGGAAUUCCUGGUGUAGCGGUGAAAUGCGUAGAUAUCUGGAGGAACACCGGUGGCGAAGGCGGCAUCCUGGACCAACACUGACGCUGAGUGAGCGAAAGCCAGGGGAGCAAACGGG